AUUGAACGCUGGCGGCAGGCCUAACACAUGCAAGUCGAACGAGUGGCGGACGGGUGAGAAAUGUCUGGGCAACUGUCUGAUGGAGGGGGAUAACUAGUGAAAACGGUAGCUAAUACCGAAUACCGGAGGAUGUGCCCACAUGGGAUUAGCUAGUUGGUGGGGUAAAGGCUCACCUAGGCGACGCUCCCUAGCUGGUCUGAGAGGAUGAGCAGCCACACUGGAACUGAGACACGGUCCAGACUCCUACGGGAGGCAGCAGUGGGGAAUAUUGCACAAUGGGCGCAAGCCUGAUGCAGCCAUGCCGCGUGUAUGAAGAAGGCCUUCGGGUUGUAAAGUACUUUCAGCUGGGAGGCGUUACCCGCAGAAGAAGCACCGGCUAACUCCGUGCCAGCAGCCGCGGUAAUAC
rnacentral:rRNA from 1 species